GACGAACGCUGGCGGCGUGCUUAACACAUGCAAGUCGAGCGGUAAGGCCCUUUCGGGGGUACACGAGCGGCGAACGGGUGAGUAACACGUGGGUGACCUGCCCUUAGCUCUGGGAUAAGCUUGGGAAACUGGGUCUAAUACCGGAUAUGACUCCAUGACGCAUGUUGUGGGGUGGAAAGCCUUGUGCGGCUAGGGAUGGGCCCGCGGCCUAUCAGCUUGUUGGUGGGGUGAUGGCCUACCAAGGCGACGACGGGUAGCCGGCCUGAGAGGGCGACCGGCCACACUGGGACUGAGACACGGCCCAGACUCCUACGGGAGGCAGCAGUGGGGAAUCUUGCGCAAUGGGCGAAAGCCUGACGCAGCGACGCCGCGUGGGGAUGACGGCCU
rnacentral:rRNA from 1 species